rnacentral:rRNA from 1 species
UACGUAGGGUGCAAGCGUUAAUCGGAAUUACUGGGCGUAAAGCGUGCGCAGGCGGUUUUGUAAGUCUGUCGUGAAAUCCCCGGGCUUAACCUGGGAAUUGCGAUGGAGACUGCAAGGCUGGAGUCUGGCAGAGGGGGGUAGAAUUCCACGUGUGAGCAGUGAAAUGCGUAGAGAUGUGGAGGAAUACCGAUGGCGAAGGCAGCCCCCUGGGCCCAAUACUGACGCUCAUGCACGAAAGCGUGGGGAGCAAACAGG